rnacentral:rRNA from 1 species
UCACCUCUAGCAUUACUAGUAUUAGAGGCAAUGCCUGCCCAGUGACACCAGUUUAACGGCCGCGGUAUUCUGACCGUGCAAAGGUAGCAUAAUCACUUGUUCUCCAAAUAAGGACUUGUAUGAAUGGCCACACGAGGGUUUUACUGUCUCUUACUUCCAAUCAGUGAAAUUGACCUUCCCGUGAAGAGGCGGGAAUAAAAAAAUAAGACGAGAAGACCCUAUGGAGCUUUAAUUAACUAUUCCAAAAGUUAAACAAUUCAACCACAAAGGGAUAAAACAUAACUUAACAUGGACUAGCAAUUUCGGUUGGGGUGACCUCGGAGUACAAAAAACCCUCCGAGUGAUUUUAAUCUAGACAAACCAGUCAAAAUAACCAUAACAUCACUUAUUGAUCCAAAAUUUUGAUCAACGGAACAAGUUACCCUAGGGAUAACAGCGCAAUCCUAUUCUAGAGUUCCUAUCGACAAUAGGGUUUACGACCUCGAUGUUGGAUCAGGACACCCAAAUGGUGCAACCGCUAUUAAAGGUUCGUUUGUUCAACGAUUAAAGUCCUACAUG